rnacentral:lncRNA from 1 species
GGACCGGAAAAUUUUAGGCGAUCGGGGUCCACGGCUCCCGGGACCACUCGGAAGGCGUAAGCUAUAGCACACUAAAAUAAGCAAAUCGCGCGGUGUUCUAGUUUUUUGGCCGAAAAAUGCAAAGCAUUUGAAAAGAUCAUGGUGGGGCGGUGACUAUAGUACCUUAGGUACGUAUUUGAUAGUGCGGAAAAAUUUUAGGCGAUCGGGGUCUGCGGCUCCCCGGACCACUUGGAAGGCGUGGGUAUAGCACACGAAAAUAUGGGAAUCGGGCGUAAUUCUAGUUUUUCGGCCGGAAUAUGCAAAAAAUGAGAAACGAUGAUGGCGGGGCGGUUACUAUAGUUCCUUAGGUCGUAUUUGAUUGUCCGGAAAAAUUUUAGGCGAUAGGGGUCUGGAGUUCCCGGGUUCACUUGGAAGGCGUGGGCUAUAGAACACGAAAAUAUGGGAAUCGCGCGGAAUUAUAGUUUUUUGGCCGAAAAAUGGAAAAAACUAGGAAAGAUCAUGGCUGGGCGGUGACUAUGGUUCCUUAAGUCUUAUUUGAUAGUCCGGAAAAUUUUUAGGCGAUAGGGGUCCGGAGACCUGGGACCACUCGGAAGGCGUGGGCUA